GAUGAACGCUAGCGGCAGGCUUAACACAUGCAAGUCGAGGGGUAUAGGUUUUCGGACCUAGAGACCGGCGCACGGGUGCGUAACGCGUAUGCAAUCUACCUUUCACAGAGGGAUAGCCCAGAGAAAUUUGGAUUAAUACCUCAUAGUAUAGCAGUUUCGCAUGAAACCACUAUUAAAGUUCCAACGGUGAAAGAUGAGCAUGCGUCCCAUUAGCUAGAUGGUAAGGUAACGGCUUACCAUGGCUACGAUGGGUAGGGGUCCUGAGAGGGAGAUCCCCCACGCUGGUAAUGAGAAACGGACCAGACUCCUACUGGAGGCAGCAGUGAGGAAUAUUGGUCAAUGGACGCAAGUCUGAACCAGCCAUGCCGCGUGCAGGAUGACGGUCCUAUGGAUUGUAAACUGCUUUUGUACGAGAAGAAACAUUCCGACGUGUCGGAACUUGACGGUAUCGUAAGAAUAAGGAUCGGCUAACUCCGUGCCAGCCGCCGCGGUAAUAC
rnacentral:rRNA from 1 species